rnacentral:rRNA from 1 species
GGGGAAUCUUGCGCAAUGGCCGCAAGGCUGACGCAGCGACGCCGCGUGUGUGAAGAAGGCCUGCGGGUUGUAAAGCACUUUUAGUGGGGAUGAAAAGCCGAGGGCUAAUACUCUUCGGUCUUGACCUAACCCAAAGAAAAAGCACCGGCUAACUCUGUGCCAGCAGCCGCGGUAAGACAGAGGGUGCAAACGUUGUUCGGAAUCACUGGGCGUAAAGCGCGUGUAGGUGGCUUGGCAAGUCGGGCGUGAAAUCCCGGGGCUCAACCCCGGAAGUGCACUCGAUACUGCCUCGCUAGAGUCCUGGAGAGGAAGGUGGAAUACUUGGUGUAGAGGUGAAAUUCGUAGAUAUCAAGUAGAACACCGGUGGCGAAGGCGGCCUUCUGGACAGUGACUGACGCUGAGACGCGAAAGCGUGGGGAGCAAA